UACGGAGGGUGCAAGCGUUAUCCGGAUUUACUGGGUUUAAAGGGUGCGUAGGUGGGCAGGUAAGUCAGUGGUGAAAUCUCCGGGCUUAACCCGGAAACUGCCGUUGAUACUAUUUGUCUUGAAUAUUGUGGAGGUAAGCGGAAUAUGUCAUGUAGCGGUGAAAUGCUUAGAUAUGACAUAGAACACCAAUUGCGAAGGCAGCUUACUACACAACGAUUGACGCUGAGGCACGAAAGCGUGGGGAUCAAACAGG
rnacentral:rRNA from 1 species